rnacentral:tRNA from 1 species
CUUUUGAUAGCUCAGUUGGUAGAUUGGUGGACUAUAGCAUUGUAUAAUGAUAUCUAAAGGUCACUGGUUCAACUCCGGUUUGAAGUG